rnacentral:rRNA from 1 species
CGUAGGUGCAAGCGUUAAUCGGAAUUACUGGGCGUAAAGCGUGCGCAGGCGGUUGUGUAAGUCAGAUGUGAAAUCCCCGGGCUCAACCUGGGAAUUGCAUUUGAGACUGCACGGCUAGAGUGUGUCAGAGGGGGUAGAAUUCCACGUGUAGCAGUGAAAUGCGUAGAUAUGUGGAGGAAUACCGAUGGCGAAGGCAGCCCCCUGGGAUAACACUGACGCUCAUGCACGAAAGCGUGGGGAGCAAACAGGAUU